AGUGAACGCUGGCGGUAGGCCUAACACAUGCAAGUCGAACGGCAGCACAGUAAGAGCUUGCUCUUACGGGUGGCGAGUGGCGGACGGGUGAGGAAUACAUCGGAAUCUACUUUUUCGUGGGGGAUAACGUAGGGAAACUUACGCUAAUACCGCAUACGACCUACGGGUUAAAGCAGUGGAGCUUCGGACCUUGCGCGAUUGAAUGAGCCGAUGUCGGAUUAGCUAGUUGGCUGGGUAAAGGCCCACCAAGGCGACGAUCCGUAGCUGGUCUGAGAGGAUGAUCAGCCACACUGGAACUGAGACACGGUCCAGACUCCUACGGGAGGCAGCAGUGGGGAAUAUUGGACAAUGGGCGCAAGCCUGAUCCAGCCAUACCGCGUGGGUGAAGAAGGCCUUCGGGUUGUAAAGCCCUUUUGUUGGGAAAGAAAAGCAGCAGGUUAAUACCCCGCUGUUCUGACGGUACCCAAAGAAUAAGCACCGGCUAACUUCGUG
rnacentral:rRNA from 1 species